UUCGGAUUGGCAAACUAGUUUUCCCAAAGCUUAUGUUGAAACUCUUUGCAAACUUCAUUCUGAUCACAACCUGAUUAUUCUUCGCUGUGGGAUACCACCUAGACUGACUUGUGAAAGGCCUUUUAGGUUUGAGGCAGCCUGGACUACCCACUCGGAUUAUCAAGAUAUUGUUUGUAGCGAUUGAGAUAGAGGCUACCAUAAUAUCCCGCUGGAGGUUUGACAGGAUUUUAUUUCUUUCAAUCAACACAUUUUUGGGAAUAUUUUCCACAGGACAAGACGAUUUGAAGCUUGGAUUAAUGGUGUCCAGAGGUGUCUUGAGCACUGUACUGAUGAUUCACUUCUUUCUCUAGAAAAAUCUUUACGUCAUGAUUAUAAUGUUGUUCUUCAACAGGAGGAAAUUCUUUGGUUUUAUUAAUCUAGAGAAUAAUGGGUUACUUACGAUGACAGGAAUACAAAGUUCUUUCAAGCUCAUACAACUAUACGGAGAAGACAGAACAUGAUUAAUAAGCCUUUUCUCUCUGAUGAGUCUAGGUGCACUGAUGAUUCUAAACUGCAGGAAGAGGCCAUCCAAUUUUACAAGAAUCUGUUCUGCUCUGAGGAAUUUUAUCGAGAAAGGUUCGAUGGAGAGGGUGGUCUUCAUCUAGUUAAUUGAGAAUCGAUUCCGUGCCCAAGGAGAAUUGAAGGUCUCGGAAUUUGGGAUACUAGAGCUGCGAAUGUUGCUCUUCUGGUUGCGAGAAGGCUUCAUUUAUAAACUAGGUGGAGGGGAUAUUUCAUUCUGGUUUGACCAUUGGUUAGAAGAAGGGCAUUUGAGCAAUAUUGUUGAGCACGUGAAUGUGUAAGAUGCAAGCUACAAAGUGAAGGAUUUAUGGACUAACGGGGCUUGGGACUUCAGCAAGCUGGCAAUGUAUAUUCCAGAGGCUGUUAGAUACCGCAUAAUGGCUAAACCCCAUUUCUUCAUAACUUGGUGGAGUCGACAGAGUGAUUUGGGCAGCUAUUAUGAAAAGGAUUUAUUCUACGAAAUUCGCCUCUUUAUGGCUUCUGAAUAGAGAUGGGUGUGUUCGAAGUGACUUGAAUUGGAGCUGGCUAUAGAAGUUAAAUGCUCCAGAGAAGUGUAAAAUCUUUAUUUGGCUGAUUUUCCAUGAAAACUUUUCUAUAAAUCUGGUGCAUUUUAAUUGCCAUAUUGCUCAUAACUCUAAAUGAUGCAGAUGCAAUCACGGGGUGGAAUGGUAGGGAUGCGGCUCGUUCAAAUGCCACCAUGAUCUCUUGCCAGAGUCCAAUCCAAGGAUUCAUUAAAUUGGAUAUGGACAAAAGCUCUAUUGGUAAUCCUAGAUCUAUAGGAUUUGAAGGACUUUUUGGAGUCUGAGAGGGUAAUUGGGUGCUUGGAUUUUCUGGCUUUGCAGGUUAUGGUCCUAAGUUACUUCCAGAGCUCCUCGCCUUGAAGCAUGGCCUCUUGAUUGCUUGGAACUGGGGUUAUAGGCAAGUCCUUUGUAACUUUUUAGAGAUCAGACAGAGCUUCAUAUUUAGGAUGAUCCCCCUAUAGGGUUAUCUUCUUUUCUGCUUGCUGACUCUAUGAACAUUUGUUUUUGUAGAGGUUAUUAGUUUCUGCUUUUUAUUUCCCUUGUACCAAAAAAAAAAAAUUAAUAAUUCAAAAGGGUUUUUAAAAUAAUUAAUUUUCUAUUAUGAAAGUUGUCGAUGGGAUAAAAUAAAUUAUCAAAGAAUA